UUCGGAUUGCAGGCUGCAACCCGCCUGCAUGAAGUUGGAAUCGCUAGUAAUCGCGGAUCAGCAUGCCGCGGUGAAUACGUUCCCGGGCCUUGUACACACCGCCCGUCACACCAUGAGAGUCGGGAACACCCGAAGUCCGUAGCCUGACCGCAAGGGGGCGCGGCCGAAGGUGGGUUCGAUAAUUGGGGUGAAGUCGUAACAAGGUAAC
rnacentral:rRNA from 1 species